rnacentral:tRNA from 1 species
AGGAUAUUAGUUAAAUUUAUUUAUAACAUUUAUUUUGCAUAUAAAAAUUAUUU